rnacentral:rRNA from 1 species
UCCUCCCUCUGUCGGCGUGCCUAAUACAUGCAAGUAGAACGCUGAAGGAGGAGCUUGCUUCUCUGGAUGAGUUGCGAACGGGUGAGUAACGCGUAGGUAACCUGCCUGGUAGCGGGGGAUAACUAUUGGAAACGAUAGCUAAUACCGCAUAAUAGUAGAUGUUGCAUGACAUUUGCUUAAAAGGUGCAAUUGCAUCACUACCAGAUGGACCUGCGUUGUAUUAGCUAGUUGGUGAGGUAACGGCUCACCAAGGCAACGAUACAUAGCCGACCUGAGAGGGUGAUCGGCCACACUGGGACUGAGACACGGCCCAGACUCCUACGGGAGGCAGCAGUAGGGAAUCUUCGGCAAUGGACGGAAGUCUGACCGAGCAACGCCGCGUGAGUGAAGAAGGUUUUCGGAUCGUAAAGCUCUGUUGUAAGAGAAGAACGAGUGUGAGAGUGGAAAGUUCACACUGUGACGGUAUCUUACCAGAAAGGGACGGCUAACUACGUG